rnacentral:rRNA from 1 species
GCUGAACAGCUAGCCUAAACAUUUGAAUAACACCACAAUAUAAAUACCCCCGCAUAACCUAUAUCAAAUCAAACAAACCAUUUUUCCCCCUUAGUACGGGCGACAGAAAGGGGACCCUGAGCAACAGAGAAAGUACCGCAAGGGAAAGCUGAAAAAGAAAUGAAAUAACCCAUUAAAGCCAAAAAAAGCAAAGAUUAACCCUUGUACCUUUUGCAUCAUGAUUUAGCCAGCAAACCAAAGCAAAGAGACCUUUAGUUAUGGCCCCCGAAACUAAACGAGCUACUCCGAGACAGCCUAUCCAGGGCCAACCCGUCUCUGUGGCAAAAGAGUGGGAAGAACUCCGAGUAGAGGUAACAAGCCUACCGAGUUUAGUUAUAGCUGGUUGCUUAAGAAAUGAAUAGAAGUUCAGCCCCCUGGCUCCUCAAGCCCCUAAAGUACUACUAAUACCGGCCCUGAAGAAACCAGGGGAGUUAGUCAAAAGAGGUACAGCUCUUUUGAACAAGGACACAACCUUCUCAGGCGGUUAAGGAUCAUAAUAAUUAAGGUGCCUGCUCCAGUGGGCUUAAAAGCAGCCACCUGUGCAGAAAGCGUUAAAGCUCAGACAGACUUACUAAACCUUUUAUUCUGAUAAAUACUCCCACCCCCUAACUUUAUUAAGCCACCCCAUGCCCCCUCCCCUGGGAGAGACUAUGCUAGAAUGAGUAGUAAGAGGGGAUACCCCUCUCCCCGCACAUGUGUAAGUUGGAUCGGACCCCCCGCCAACAAGUAACGAACCCAAUACAAGAGAGAAAUACGAACCAAAAAAACUACUAGAAAAACACGUACAAAACAAUCGUUAUUCCUACACAGGAGUGCCCCAAGGAAAGACUAAAAGGAGAAGAAGGAACUCGGCAAACCGAAGCCUCGCCUGUUUACCAAAAACAUCGCCUCUUGCAAAAUUAAAACAUAAGAGGUCCCGCCUGCCCUGUGACCCUGGGUUUAACGGCCGCGGUAUUUUGACCGUGCGAAGGUAGCGCAAUCACUUGUCUUUUAAAUGAAGACCUGUAUGAAUGGCACAACGAGGGCUUAACUGUCUCCUUCUCCUAGUCAAUGAAAUUGAUUUCCCCGUGCAGAAGCGGGGAUAAAAACAUAAGACGAGAAGACCCUAUGGAGCUUUAGAUAAAAGGUAGCCCACGUUUAAAACCCUAAAUUACAGGGCUAAACACAAUGCCCCCUAACCUGAAUAUCUUUGGUUGGGGCGACCGCGGGGAAAAAUCAAACCCCCAUGUGGAUUAGGAAAACCCUUCCCACAACUAAGAACUACAGCUCUAAGUAACAGAAUUUCUGACCAAAAAUGAUCCGACAUGAUAGUCGAUCAACGAACCAAGUUACCCUAGGGAUAACAGCGCAAUCCCCUCCCAGAGUCCCUAUCGACAAGGGGGUUUACGACCUCGAUGUUGGAUCAGGACAUCCUAAUGGUGCAGCCGCUAUUAAGGGUUCGUUUGUUCAACGAUUAAAGUCCUACGUGAUCUGAGUUCAGACCGGAGUAAUCCAGGUCAGUUUCUAUCUAUGAUGUAACCUUCCCUAGUACGAAAGGACCGGGACAGAGGAGGCCCCUGCCCAAAGCAUGCCUCACCCCCUCCUGAUGAAAACAACUAAAACAGAAAAGGGUGCACAUCCCUGCGAGCCCGAGAGAAUGGCGC